rnacentral:rRNA from 1 species
UGGGGAAUUUUGGACAAUGGGCGAAAGCCUGAUCCAGCAAUGCCGCGUGCAGGAUGAAGGCCUUCGGGUUGUAAACUGCUUUUGUACGGAACGAAAAAGCUUCUCCUAAUACGAGAGGCCCAUGACGGUACCGUAAGAAUAAGCACCGGCUAACUACGUGCCAGCAGCCGCGGUAAUACGUAGGGUGCAAGCGUUAAUCGGAAUUACUGGGCGUAAAGCGUGCGCAGGCGGUUAUGUAAGACAGAUGUGAAAUCCCCGGGCUCAACCUGGGAACUGCAUUUGUGACUGCAUGGCUAGAGUACGGUAGAGGGGGAUGGAAUACCGCGUGUAGCAGUGAAAUGCGUGGAUAUGCGAAGGAACACCGAUGGCGAAGGCAAUCCCCUGGGCCUGUACUGACGCUCAUACACGAAAGCGUGGGGAGCAAACA